AAAAGCACCGGCUAACUACGUGCCAGCAGCCGCGGUAAUACGUAGGGUGCAAGCGUUGUCCGGAAUUAUUGGGCGUAAAGAGCUCGUAGGCGGUUUGUCGCGUCUGCUGUGAAAACUGGAGGCUCAACCUCCAGCCUGCAGUGGGUACGGGCAGACUAGAGUGCGGUAGGGGAGAUUGGAAUUCCUGGUGUAGCGGUGGAAUGCGCAGAUAUCAGGAGGAACACCGAUGGCGAAGGCAGAUCUCUGGGCCGUAACUGACGCUGAGGAGCGAAAGCAUGGGGAGCGAACAGGAUUAGAUACCCUGGUAGUCCAUGCCGUAAACGUUGGGAACUAGAUGUGGGGGCCAUUCCACGGUCUCCGUGUCGCAGCUAACGCAUUAAGUUCCCCGCCUGGGGAGUACGGCCGCAAGGCUAAAACUCAAAGGAAUUGACGGGGGCCCGCACAAGCGGCGGAGCAUGCGGAUUAAUUCGAUGCAACGCGAAGAACCUUACCAAGGCUUGACAUAUACGAGAACGGGCCAGAGAUGGUCAACUCUUUGGACACUCGUAAACAGGUGGUGCAUGGUUGUCGUCAGCUCGUGUCGUGAGAUGUUGGGUUAAGUCCCGCAACGAGCGCAACCCUCGUUCUAUGUUGCCAGCACGUUAUGGUGGGAACUCAUAGGAGACUGCCGGGGUCAACUCGGAGGAAGGUGGGGAUGACGUCAAAUCAUCAUGCCCCUUAUGUCUUGGGCUUCACGCAUGCUACAAUGGCCGGUACAAAGGGCUGCAAUACCGUAAGGUGGAGCGAAUCCCAAAAAGCCGGUCUCAGUUCGGAUUGAGGUCUGCAACUCGACCUCAUGAAGUCGGAGUCGCUAGUAAUCGCAGAUCAGCAACGCUGCGGUGAAUACGUUCCCGGGCCUUGUACACACCGCCCGUCAAGUCAUGAAAGUCGGUAACACCCAACGCCAGUGGCCUAACCUCGGGAGG
rnacentral:rRNA from 1 species